CCUUGUGGCCUUUCUUUCUGUUCAUUUGCUUAAUUGCACUAACAGAGUGUUACUGUUCACAGAAACGCUAUGCUGAGCGUUUUAAGCUUAGAAGCUCAAACAGGGUUUAGGAGUUUUAAGACGAAAUAUUAUCGAAGUGGAUCCAAGUCACCAACAUAGUUUUGGAGUUUUAGGACGAAACAUUAUCGAAGUGGAUCCAAGUCAAGCUACCUAAGACCAAUAGGGUCCCACUGUAUAUUAAAUGUCCCUAAUACAUUGGUACAUGGUAUCUACAGCUGUAAUGUUUGUGUAACUACUCAUAUGUAACAACCCACUGAAUGGUAUGUGUAAGUACAAAUGUGUAACGGGACAUUGGUAACAACAUUUUUUGGUAAUGAAAGUACAAAUGUGUAACAGGACUAACAGCACUUUUUUGUAAAGAAAGUGUUACACUUUAUAGGGCCCGAGCACCAUGGUGCGAGGACCCCCUUGGAAUUGCUCCAAAGUAUAUUGUUUUAAUGCUGUUUAAGGUAGACUUAUAAUAUGAAAUGUGCGUGUUCUGUUACAAAUCCUUUCAACUAAUGAACAGUCAACAUAAAUGCUCCCUGUGAUGUGCGAUGGAUUGAGAUUUUUUGUGCCAAAACUUGUGCAACUUCUGUUUCAUCACAAAUUUAAUUAACUGGUAUUACAUUUUAAAUGAUUUAAAAGGCAUCAUUUAAUUUCUUGAGAUAAAUUUCUCAUUUCUUUUUUUCUCCAUCAGGGUGUGGCCAAAGCUGUCAUUGGUGCUUUCUCAUCAUUGCAAGUUUUCAGAUGCUGGCCAGUCACUUCUUCCAAGGCUCCAAACACUGCCAUGUGAGCAGACUGCUCCACUGAAACUGCAUAGUGUGUGUGUACUUUCAACACUAAGACUUAAGGUCACCGUAGCCACCAGAUCCAGUCUGUAUCCAGAUCAGAUGGUGGAUCAGCACCUAGACAUGCCCUCGACAGCCCUGAAUGUCAGUGGACACCAGGACAACUAGAUGAGCCCAAGAGACAGAUCCCCUCCGAAGACCUCGUCACCUAGACAGCCAUCGGGACAAGACCACAGGAACCAGACCAGUCCUCUGCAAAAUCUGACCUGUGUUGCAGCCUGCAAUUAAACUGCUGGAUUUGUCUGGCCAGAGAAGAACAAUGGAGUUUUGGUUCCUUCUACACAUGAUUUUUAAAGCUGCUUUGACACAAUCUGUAGUGUAAAAAGCACUAUGUAAAUACAGUACAGUGACUGGGCUUUACUUGACUCCGUUCAGUUGAACUGUAAUACCUGGUUCAUUUAUUUUUUUCUGACUUCUGCCUCAUUUUAAAGAUGUAAUAGUGAACAGUAUGUUUGUUUGCAAACAUUUUGUUUAACUUAAAAAAACAACUAAUAAAGUUCAUUAAACAAAUGUUUAAAAUAAUUUUUUCAGUUGUAUUACAAAUGUAAUAUUUGACAACUCGAGCACUUUAAAGGGAUAGUUCACCCAAAAAUGGAAAGUUGCUGUUAUUUUAUUGACCCUCAGGCCAUCCCAGAUGUCAGUGAAUUUUUUUCUUCAGUAAAACGGUAAAGAAGAUUUUUAUCUGAAACAGUGAACCUUGGCAAUAAAAAAAGUUAACUACAUCUUGGAUGGCUUGAGGGUGAGUCAAUUAACAGCAAAAAUUAAUUUUUGGGUGAACUAUCCCUUUAAGCCUGCAUGUUUAGUCUGUAUGACAAAUGUUAUAAAAGCAGAUUGUUAUUAAUUAAAUGCUAUUAUGUGUUGUAAUGUGUGUGUUUUAGUGAUUGAUAGACACAGGUAAUAACAGGUUAAUUAACAACAGGUUUUCUUAAACUCAAUAUAAAAUAUAAUAACUAGUUCCACAGCAAUUUCAUAGGAUGACCAAAUAAUUUUCUAAAUGUUUGACCAAUUAAAUAAUUUUAGGUGAAUGGACUAUAAAACUAUUUCAAUAAAGGUUGAACCAACUAAAAAAAAUAAUUCAGGAAACACUUUGGAGACAAAAAUUGACUAAAUGUAUAAUUUCUGUGGAACUAAAUAAUAAUUAGUAGAAACGGCUUGAAAUUUUUUACAGUGUAGCCUGUUAUCUGCUUGGAAGGGCCUUUUGUAGGGUUUCUGCACAUAAUAUACAUGUAUAUUGGUUCAUUUCAAAUUGGUCA
ensembl:lncRNA